UAACCAUGUGUUACAACAGCGAUGUGCAAAAGAGCAUCUCUGAACGUACAACACGUUGAGACUUGAAGUGGGUGGACUAUGGCAGCAGAAGACCACAAAUGUACACUCAGUGGCCACUUUAUUAGGUACAGGUCAGCAACAGGACCAGCAAAGAUGAGAGUUGGAGUUGUCCAUAUGUUCUGGGAAUAGCGUUCUGUGCAAGCACGAAGAACAAGGACCACUGACCCCCUAGAAACAGCAAAGGAGAAUCCUUCUACAUCUGUGUGCAACGGUAUUCCUGAGUCUCCGACCUGGGACUUGCAUGACUGACUAAUGAAAACCGAGAGGAAGAUACUGACAUGAUGAAGGAUAUCCUGAGUGCCACAAGAGAUGGAAGACCUUCAAUCCUGCCCUAGACGCCAGCGGUGUAACGGGCAGAGCACCAUUGAGAGCAUCCUGACAAGCUGCAUCUCCAUCUGCUAUGGGAGCAGCCGAGCAUCAGACUGGAAGACCCUACAAAGGACUGUGACAAUGGCUGGGAGGAUCAUAGAGGUCUCCAUACCAUCCAUCGGGGACAUUUAUCAGGAAUGCUGUGUAUGAGGGCCUUUAGUAUUAUGAAGAACUCAUCCAUUCAUCCAGCAUCCUCUUUGUCUUUCUAGUAUCAGGCAGGAGAUUCCGAUGCAUAAAGACAAGAACGGUCAGGAUUGGAGGUUUAUUCCCCCAGGCCAUUAGGCUUCUGAACUUCCUAUCGCAUUUGAAGUUUCAUCGAUGAAUCUGUUCUGUACCCUGUACUUUACUUUGUUUAUUUAUGUGUAAUUCAUUUGUAGAUUGAAUUCUACUUUCCCAGGUUAUUGUGUUAUUGUUAUGUGGACUAUUGUACUUUACACCCUGUUUCGGAGAAACGUCUCAUUUGACGGUACACGUGUAUAUAGUUAAAUGACAAUAAACUUGACUUGACCACUUCACCUUUGUUGCUUUCUCCUUGUAUUACCGAUUUUAUAAUAUACAGUCUAAAUAUAUAAAUACAUUUCUAUUUUAUAAGUAGUACACAUAUAUAUAAUAUAUAGAUUUAAAUAGAUUAUAUAUCAUAUGUAUAUUUAUUAUUGUAACUUACAGUAUUUUUAUAUAUUACAUCAUCCCACUGCCACAACAAAUUUCACGCCAUAGGUUAGUGAUAAUAAACCUGAUUCUGAUUCUGAUUCUGGUUCGGAGAAAUUAUCAGUGUACAGAAUUAAAGAUGAAGUUAUAUAAGUCCUUGGCGAGUCUGUACUUCGACCUUUGGACUCUGUACUUAAAAAAGGAGAAAUGAUAUAGGGAGCGCAUCAAAGAUUUACUAGUUAAAGGAAAGGAAAGUUUCCGUAUGGGAAGCAAUUGAGUCGUCCAGACCCAUAUUCUUUCAAGUAUAAAAGAAUGAGAAAUAAAUACUUACAAUAUUCUCAUAGAGCUUAGCAGACUGGAUGCAGGGAAGAGAAUAAGAAAUUCUAUAUGUGUUUGCAGAGCAAUUAUGUCAUUUACCAGGAGGUCAUUUUGUGGAUAAAGUUGAUAAAGAUUAGUUUUAUUUGAACAUAGAAGCAUUAAAACGUACAGGUGAAAUGUAUCACCUGGUCAAAUCAAAGCAGUGAGGUUUGUGCUGGACAGCCCUCCAGUGUUGCCAUGCCUCUGGUGCGGAUAGAGCAUGCCCAGAGUUUACUAAGCCUGACCCGUACCCUCUUUGGAAUGGGGGGAGACUGGAGCACCUGGAAACCCAUCCACGGAGACAAUGUACAAGCUCCUUACAGACAACCCCAAUCGGUGAUUGGUGAUCGCUGGCGCCGUAAAACGAUUGCACUAACUGCCACUGCGCCACCUUUUCUAAAAGGAUUCAUUUAGAAGGAAAUUAGAUAGAUUCCCUUCAUAAAGUAAUAUUUUGGGAAAUAGUGCAUCAAGAAGUGGGGCAUACAGUGAAAUGGUGGUGGGGUUCAUGUGAAUGAUUGGGAUCGGUGUGGUGCCAAAACUCUACACAACCAUCAAUCUGUGAUGACAUAGAAUUUAAUAUUUAUGUAGAAUUGAUGACACAGAAGGAGUAGAUUCAACCCAUUGUAGAACAUAGAAGACACAGGAACAGAUCCUCUGCAUUCAUCAUCAAGCCCACCAUAUCCAAUAGACAAAAACAAUAUUCAUUUCAGUUCGAUCUGAACCCCAACUCUCAAUCAGAGCCCUUGGGGAUUAUAAAAAAGCCAGAAAAGAACUCAAGAUUGGAAUUAGGAAAGGCAGGAGGGGCCAUGAAAUGUCCUUGCAAGUACAAUUAAAGAGGAUCCCAAGGCAUUCUACACAUAGUUCAAGAACAAGAGGAUAACUAGUGAGAGGGUAGGACCUCUCAAGGGAACAUUUGCUUUGAUGUGGCGGACGUGGGUGAGGUCCUUAAUGAGUACAUUACAUUAAUAUUUAACAGGGUGAAAGACGUGGAGGAUAGGGAGAUCAGUGCCAAGCGUAUUGGUAUGCAAGGGCAUUUUGAAGUAAAGGGGGAAUUGUGUCUCUUAAAGAGCAUUAAGGUAUAUAAGUCUGCAGGGACUUGGGAUAUACCCUAGAUUAUUAAGAGCGGCAAGAGCAGUCAUUACAGGGCCUUGACCAAUAUCUUCGUGUCCUCCAUAGCCUAAAGUGAAGUCCCAGAGCAAGUUGCUAAUGUUGUUCCAUUAUUCAAGAAGGGAACCAGGAUAAUCCGGUGAGUCUUAUGUCAGUGGUAGGGAAGUUACUGGAAAAAAAUUCUUAAGAAUAGGAUUUAUGAGCACCUGGAGAGCCAGCAAGUCGUGUCUUAACUAACUUGGCUGAGUUUUUUAAGAAGGCGAUGAGGGUGAUUGAUGAAAGUAGAGCUGUGGGUGUUGUCUACAUGGACUUUAGUAAGGUGUUUGACAAGGUCACUCAUGGGAGACUCAUCCAGAAGAUAAGAUAGGGUCUUUUAAGAGACUUUUGGAUAGGUACAUGGAGCUUAGAAAAAUAGAGGGCUAUAGGUAAGCCUAGUAAUUUCUACGGUAGGGACAUGUUCGGCACAACUUUGUGCUGUAGGUUUUCCGUGUUUCUGUGUAAGAUUAGGAUGCAUGGGAUCCAUAGUGAAUUGAAUUCAGAAAUGGCUCGCGCGUAGAAGACAGACAGUAGUGGUCAAAAGGACUUAUUCAAGCCAGAGGUCUGUGAUUAGUGGUGUCCUGCAGGGAUCUGUACUGGGACCCCUACUCUUCGUGAUGUGUAUAAAUUAGUUGGGUGAAAAUUUAGAUGGGUGGGUUAUUAAGUUUGCAUAUGAAAUGAAGAUUGGUGGUGUUGUGCGUCGUGUAGAAGACAGGUAAAGAAUACAGCAUAAUCAGUUGUCGAUGUGUGCAAAGAAACGGCAGAUAACCCAGCCAGAUAUGAAGUGUUGCACCUUGUAGGUCAAAUGUGAAGAGACGGAAGAGUGUUGAUGAGCAGAAGGAUCUUGAGGUCCAAAUUCAUAGCUCCCUGAAAGUGGCGACACAAGUUGAUAGCCUGGUUAAAUUCAUAUGGCAUGCUUGCUUUUAUUAUUCAAGGCAUUGAGUUCAGAAGUCAGAAAGUUAUGUUGCAGCUUUACGUAAAGUUAUAUAAGGUCAUAUCUGUGGUAUUGCAUACAUUUCUAGCCACACCACUGUAGGAAUUGAGGCUUUGGAGAGGGUGCAGAAGACGUUUACCAGAAUGUUGCCUGGAUUACAGGGCAUCUGCUAUAACAAGAGGUUGGACAAAUUUGAGCCAUUUUCUCUGGAAUGAUGAAGGCUUAGGGGAGAUCAAACGGAGGUUUUAAGAUUAUGAGAAGCAUAGAUAGAGUAGGCAAGUAAUUUCAAAGAGUUGAAAUGUCUAAUACCAGAAGAAAUGGAUUCAAAGUGAGGAGGGUACUUUCAAAGGCAAUGUCAGAGGAAAGUUUUAGCAUAGAAAGUGCUGGGUGCCUGGAAUGCACUGCCUGGGAUGGUGGUGGAGAAGGGAACACUAGAGACUUUUAAAUGACAUUUAGAUAGGCACAUGAAUAUGGGGAAUGGAAGGACCAGGACAUUUUGUAUACCAAAGAGAUUAGGUUAGCUUGACAUUUAAUUACUAAUUUAUUUGGUUCAUUUCAACAUUGCGGGCUGAAGGAUCUGUUCCUGUACUGUACUGUUCUAUGUUCUAUCAUCUUGCAGCUCGUAACUUCAUAUCAAAUGUGAGGAUGGUCCUACCUCUAGCAAUUCCUUAAGGUUGUUAUAGCCGGGGGUGGUAGUGGGGAUAAGCUCCCACUAUCUAUUAAAUGUUCCCAAUGGCGUGCGUCUAAAAAUAGCUUCUGACAACCAAGUCCAGCUCCUGGUCCUCCCGUGUAGCUUAGCUACUAAUCCCAAUGGAAUUGCUUCUACUGACAGGAGAAGAGGCAAAGGCACCUUAAAACCAGUCGCUUCAGGCAAGAUGGGGCUCGUCAGCCAUGGUCGGCA